rnacentral:lncRNA from 1 species
GACGCAGUUCUGUCUGUAGGGUUUGCCUGUAAAGGAACACACAGUUCGGCCGGUACAUACAUACAGAGGUUAAGGCCUGACUUCUGCUCCCAGUCGACCCAGUCGACCCGGGUUCAAAUCCGCCUGCCGGCUCCUCGGGUGUUUGAGGAGUGAUGAAAUGGGAGGUGGCCCCCCAUCUUAUGGACGGUGUAGGACGUGAUAAUAUCAACUUGCGAGCUGACCAGGAACUAAGUUGAUGCGCCGUUGAUCCGCUAGAUUUGGUUGGAUGCUGGUGGUGAGUUGCUGAACCCAACGAAUACGCUCUGAAGUCGGAUGGGGUGACGGAUUAGGGUGCCCCUCUAGCAGGGGAGAGCAGGGACUGCCCCGGGAAAGGGGGCCGCUGGCGAAGUUAACCACCCUGUAACAACAUACAGACACAGGCAGGCGGCUGGCAGAAGUUAAGGCCUGACUUCUGCUCCCUGUCGAUCCAGUCGACCCGGGUUCAAAUCCGCCUGCCAGCUCCUCGGGUGUUUGAGGAGUGAUGAAAUGGGAGGUGGCCCCCCAUCACAUGGACGGUGUAGGACGUGAUAAUAUCAACUUGCGAGCUGACCAGGAACUAAGUUGAUGCACCGUUGAUCCGCUAGAUUUGGUUGGAUGCUGGUGGUGAGUUGCCGAACCCAACGAAUACAUUCUGAAGUCGGAUGGGGUGACGGAUUAGGGUGCCCCUCUAGCAGGGGAGAGCAGGGACUGCCCCGGGAAAGGGGGCCGCUGGCGAAGUUAAUCACCCUGUAACAACAUAC